GAUCAUGGCUCAGGAUGAACGCUAGCUACAGGCUUAACACGUGCAAGUCGAGGGGCAGCAUGGUCUUAGCUUGCUAAGGCCGAUGGCGACCGGCGCACGGGUGAGUAACACGUAUCCAACCUGCCGUCUACUCUUGGACAGCCUUCUGAAAGGAAGAUUAAUACAAGAUGGCAUUAUGAGUCCGCAUGUUCACAUGAUUAAAGGUAUUCCGGUAGACGAUGGGGAUGCG
rnacentral:rRNA from 1 species